UAUAACGGCCAUGCCACCCUGAACGUGCCCGAUCUCGUCUGAUCUCGGAAGCUAAGCAGGUUCGGGCCUGGUUAGUACUGGGAUGGGAGACCACCUUGGAAUACCAGGUGCUAUAGGCA
rnacentral:rRNA from 1 species